CCUGGUUUUGCUGGAUUUUUGAAGUCUGGCUGGUAAGUCCGGCCAAGAACGCCUUCAACCUUCGUUGAGAGGCCAUAGAAUCUGAAUUGCACGUCCAGGUGAGCGAAGCAGUCAUCAGAAGUUCUUUCUACCUUGAUGCCGCUUUCAGAAGAUUCCCAUAUGGAUGGAUAUCCUUCUGGUAAGCCUAACUCUUUUCCGUUAUAAUAGAAUUUCAGAUGAUCAACUUCGUCGUCCCAAGACUCUGCCUUGGUAGCCUCCACUGAAAAAGCAUGCAUGUCAAAGAGUAUUCCAAGAGCUUGAAUCCAUGUGUAGUCUCGGGGUCUACCAGCAGGUCGCAAGCCAAUGAAACGGGCAUUAAUCUGGAGAUUAAGAUCUGAAACUAAGCUGAAAUGUUCAUUGCUCUUGCCAUGGAAGUAAAAUACAAUUCCAUCUCCACCAAUGAAGCGAGGAUCCAAGCAUGCUGCUCCGGGUUGAUUGCAAUUCGCCUUCCUGUCUAUUUGGAAGCAAAAUCACAUGACUUAAGGGAGUAUUGAAGUAUCUUUCUUUAUACAUUUACAAGUUGCCUUAUAACACAGUACUGAAAGAUCUGCGUAUAUUCUAUCCUUCUCACAUCUCACUUCUGAGA